ensembl:lncRNA
UGUUGUUGCUCGUGAUGACUCCCGGAGGUGCAGUUGGCUUUAGGUCAUCCUUUCACCCAUGGUGGUAUUGUUGUUGCUCGUGAUGACUCCCGGAGGUGCAGUUGGCUUUAGGUCAUCCUUGGAUCAGAAGAAAGAUUGACCUGAGCUUGUCUUUUUUUUUUUUUUUACAAAUACUAUUUGAACCCAGGUCUGCUUGGUUUAUCCAGACAGUACCAAAGCCUGGACCUAAUCCCUCACAGAGAAGAACCAUAUUACAAUCUAAUCUAUCUAUGAUACUGUUUAUUCAUAGUGGGAGUUUUUCCCUGUCAGAAUCUGUAAUGCCACUUCGGGAAUAGGAGUACAGUAUUACACUCAGUAUUACACUCAGCAGUACACUCAGUAGUAGUACACUCAGCAGUACACUCAGUAGUAGUACACUCAGCAGUACACUCAGUAGUAGAACACUCAGCAGUACACUCAGUAGUAGUACACUCAGUAGUAGUACACUCAGUAGUAGUUCACUCAGCAGUACACUCAGUAGUAGUUCACUCAGCAGUACACUCAGUAGUAGAACACUCAGCAGUAGUACACUCAGUAGUAGUACACUCAGUAGUAGUACACUCAGUAGUAGUACACUCAGUAGUAGUACACUCAGUAGCAGUACACUCAGUAGUAGUACACUCAGUAGUAGUACACUCAGUAGUAGUACACUCAGUAGUAGUACACUCAGUAGUAGUACACUCAGUAGUAGUUCACUCAGCAGUACACUCAGUAGUAGUUCACUCAGCAGUACACUCAGUAGUAGUACACUCAGUAGUACACUCAGCAGUACACUCAGUAGUAGUACACUCAGUAGUACACUCAGCAGUACACUCAGUAGUAGUUCACUCAGCAGUACACUCAGUAGUAGUACACUCAGUAGUACACUCAGCAGUACACUCAGUAGUAGUACACUCAGCAGUACACUCAGUAGUAGUACACUCAGUAGUAGUACACUCAGUAGUACACUCAGCAUACACUCAGUAGUAGUUCACUCAGCAGUACACUCAGUAGUAGUUCACUCAGCAGUACACUCAGUAGUAGUACACUCAGCAGUACACUCAGUAGUACACUCAGUAGUAGUACACUCAGCAUACACUCAGUAGUAGUUCACUCAGCAGUACACUCAGUAGUAGUACACUCAGCAGUACACUCAGCAGUAGUUCACUCAGCAGUACACUCAGUAGUAGUUCACUCAGCAGUACACUCAGUAGUAGUUCACUCAGCAGUACACUCAGUAGUAGUACACUCAGUAGUACACUCAGCAGUACACUCAGUAGUAGUACACUCAGUAGUAGUACACUCAGCAGUACACUCAGUAGUAGUACACUCAGUAGUACACUCAGCAUACACUCAGUAGUAGUUCACUCAGCAGUACACUCAGUAGUAGUACACUCAGCAGUACACUCAGUAGUAGUACACUCAGUAGUAGUACACUCAGCAGUACACUCAGUAGUAGUACACUCAGCAGUACACUCAGUAGUAGUACACUCAGCAGUACACUCAGUAGUACACUCAGCAGUACACUCAGUAGUAGUACACUCAGUAGUACACUCAGUAGUACACUCAGUAGUAGUAGUACACUCAGUAGUACACUCAGUAGUACACUCAGUAGUAGUAGUACACUCAGUAGUAGUA